AACUUUUAACAAUGGAUCUCUUGGUUCUCGCAUCGAUGAAGAACGUAGCAAAGUGCGAUAACUAGUGUGAAUUGCAUAUUCAGUGAAUCAUCGAGUCUUUGAACGCAACUUGCACUCAUUGGUAUUCCAAUGAGUACGCCUGUUUCAGUAUCAAAAACAACCCUCAUCUAAAUCUUUGUGUUUGGAUGGAUAUGAGAGUACCAUAGUGUUGGCACUCUUUAAAUAUACUAAGGCCUGAGUUUGCUCUGACCUAACUUUUUUUUAAUUUAAAAGGAAGUUCAAGUCGCCGAGCUUUGCUGGGGCCUCCCAAACAAAACUUUUUAAACUUGAUCUGAAAUCAGGUGGGAUUACCCGCUGAACUUAAGCAUAUCAAUAAGCGGAGGAAAAGAAAAUAACAAUGAUUUCCCUAGUAACGGCGAGUGAAGAGGAAAGAGCUCAAAGUUGGAACCUGUUUGGCUUAGCUAAACCGGAUUGUAAACUGUAGAAACGUUUUCCUGGCACGCCAGAUAAAUAAGUCCUUUGGAACAGGGCAUCAUAGAGGGUGAGAAUCCCGUCUUUGGUCUGAGCUGUUGUCUUUUGUGAUACGUUUUCAAAGAGUCAGGUUGUUUGGGAAUGCAGCCUAAAUUGGGUGGUAAAUCUCACCUAAAGCUAAAUAUUUGCGAGAGACCGAUAGCGAACAAGUACCGUGAGGGAAAGAUGAAAAGAACUUUGAAAAGAGAGUUAAACAGUAUGUGAAAUUGUUAAAAGGGAA
rnacentral:misc_RNA from 1 species